rnacentral:rRNA from 1 species
GACGAACGCUGGCGGCGUGCUUAACACAUGCAAGUCGAGCGAGGCCCUCCUUCGGGGGGUGCCCUAGCGGCGAACGGGUGAGUAACACGUGGGCAACCUGCCCUCAGCUCUGGGAUAACUCCAAGAAAUUGGUGCUAAUACCGGAUGUGACCGCUGACCGCAUGGUCUGGUGGUGGAAAGAUUUAUCGGCUGAGGAUGGGCCCGCGGCCUAUCAGCUUGUUGGUGGGGUCACGGCCCACCAAGGCGACGACGGGUAGCCGGCCUGAGAGGGUGACCGGCCACACUGGGACUGAGACACGGCCCAGACUCCUACGGGAGGCAGCAGUGGGGAAUAUUGCGCAAUGGGCGAAAGCCUGACGCAGCGACGCCGCGUGAGGGAUGACGCCU